rnacentral:rRNA from 1 species
GACGAACGCUGGCGGCGUGCCUAACACAUGCAAGUCAACUUGACUGAAGGAGCAAUCUGACAGUAGAGUGGCGCAAGGGUGCGUAACGCGUAAGUAACUUGCCCAAGGUAAGGAAUAACGUCGAGAAAUCGGCGCUAAUACCUCAUAAUGCAGCGGAUCCGCAUGGAUAUGUUGCUAAAAGGUUUACCGCCUUGGGAUAGGCUUGCGUCUGAUUAGCUAGUUGGUGUGGUAACGGCACACCAAGGCUACGAUCAGUAACUGGUCUGAGAGGAUGAUCAGUCACACUGGAACUGAGACACGGUCCAGACUCCUACGGGAGGCAGCAGUGAGGAAUAUUGGGCAAUGCUCGAAGAGUGACCCAGCAACGCCGCGUGGAGGAUGAAGGUAUUCUAUAUCGUAAACUCCUGUGAGAGCAGACGAAAGACAGAUUAUAAUCUGGAUGACUGUAUGCUCAGAGGAAGCCCCGGCUAA